GAAGAGGAGGCUGCAAAAUGGGCCCGGGAAGAAGAAGAAGCCCAGCGUCGAUUAGAGGAGAACCGGCUGCGGAUGGAAGAGGAGGCAGCCAGACUCCGGCAUGAGGAAGAAGAACGGAAGAGAAAGGAGCUGGAGGUCCAGCGGCAGAAGGAGUUAAUGCGCCAGAGGCAGCAGCAGCAAGAGGCUCUCCGGAGGUUGCAGCAGCAGCAGCAGCAACAACAGCUGGCGCAGAUGAAGCUUCCUUCUUCUUCAACGUGGGGCCAGCAGUCCAAUACAACAGCAUGUCAGUCCCAGGCCACGCUGUCGUUGGCUGAAAUCCAAAAACUAGAGGAAGAACGAGAACGGCAGCUUCGAGAAGAGCAAAGGCGCCAGCAGAGGGAGUUGAUGAAAGCUCUUCAGCAGCAGCAGCAACAGCAACAGCAGAAACUCUCAGGUUGGGGGAAUGUCAGCAAACCUUCAGGUACCACGAAAUCUCUUCUGGAGAUCCAGCAGGAAGAGGCCAGGCAAAUGCAAAAGCAGCAGCAGCAGCAGCAGCAACACCAGCAACCAAACAGAGCUCGUAACAAUACGGUCAUUCCAACCUGCACACCAGCAUUGGGAAUUCUGUUUGGGGCUCUAUAAAUACUGGUCCUCCUAACCAGUGGGCAUCUGACCUAGUCAGUAGUAUUUGGAGUAAUGCUGACACUAAAAACUCCAACAUGGGAUUCUGGGAUGAUGCAGUGAAAGAGGUGGGACCUAGGAAUUCAAC
rnacentral:lncRNA from 1 species